GGCGUCAGGACGAACGCUGGCGGCGUGCCUAACACAUGCAAGUCGAGCGAGGAGAUCCUUCGGGAUGAUCCUAGCGGCGGACGGGUGAGUAACACGUGGGCAACCUGCCUCAUAGAGAGGAAUAGCCUUCCGAAAGGGAGAUUAAUACCUCAUAACAUUGCAGUUUCGCAUGGAACAGCAAUUAAAGGAGUAAUCCGCUAUGAGAUGGGCCCGCGGCGCAUUAGCUAGUUGGUGAGGUAACGGCUCACCAAGGCGACGAUGCGUAGCCGACCUGAGAGGGUGAUUGGCCACAUUGGGACUGAGACACGGCCCAGACUCCUACGGGAGGCAGCAGUGGGGAAUAUUGCACAAUGGGGGAAACCCUGAUGCCAGCAACGCCGCGUGAGUGAUGACGGCCUUCGGGUUGUAAAGCUCUGUCUUCAGGGACGAUAAUGACGGUACCUGAGGAGGAAGCCACGGCUAACUACGUGCCAGCCGCCGC
rnacentral:rRNA from 1 species